UGUUUACUGUUCAAGAAUAAAUAGGUGAAGGAGAGAAGACGAAGAAAGAAUAAAUAUGCUUUACCUCCAGAAAUAAGGGAAGGGAAUAUCG